GGAUGAGGGGAGUUUGGUCCUGGAUUUAGCGGCGGACGGGUGAGUAAUGCCUAGGAAUCUGCCUGAUAGUGGGGGACAACGUUUCGAAAGGAACGCUAAUACCGCAUACGUCCUACGGGAGAAAGCAGGGGACCUUCUGGGCCUUGCGCUAUCAGAUGAGCCUAGGUCGAGAUUAGCUAGUUGGUGAGGUAAUGGCUCACCAAGGUCGACGAUCCGUAACGGGUCUGAGAGGAUGAUCCGCCACACUAGGAACUGAGACACGGUCCAGACUCCUACGGGAGGCAGCAGUGGGGAAUAUUGGACAAUGGGCGAAAGCCUGAUCCAGCCAUGCCGCGUGUGUGAAGAAGGUCUUCUGAUUGUAAAGCACUUUAAGUUGGGAGGAAGGUUUUUUAAUUAAUACUCUGCCAUUUUGAAGUUCCUCGCGAAUAAGCACCCGGUAACUUUGUUGCAACACACUCUGUAAUUCCAAGGGUGGCUGCCUUUAUCCGAAUUACUGGGCGUAAAGCCCUCCUAAGUGGUCUGUUUAGUUGGAAUGUGAAAUCCCCUGAGCUCUAACUUGGGAACUGCAUCUCGAUACUGGCAAAUUAUGAGUAUGGUAAGAAGGUGGUGAGAACUUCUCGUGUAUAUCGGAUGUAAAUGCUCCCAUGUUCUGAACGGACUACCUUGUGCCAAAGUCAGCACUCUGACUGAUACUUACAGCUAAGUGGCAAAUGCUUGGGGAGGCAACAAGAAUAAAUUCCUUGGUAGCUCAUGCGUAACCAUGGUAUCUUAUCGUUGGAGCCUUGACUCUUAUUGCGCACUUACGCUACAGUAUCGCCUGGCGAUACGACUCCAGAUAAACUCAAUAAUGACGGGA
rnacentral:rRNA from 1 species